UUCCAUGCCGGUGUACUGAGAGCAACCAUGGAGCCCUCCACCCUAAGGUGCCAGAGGCCCUGGGAUACUUAUUAAAAAAUUUAAAUCAGGAGGAAGGGUCCCUGGAAUAGGUCCUCCAACAUCCCCAGAUGAAUUUCAUCCCACAAGCCAAGCACACAGCUGCUGGAAAAUAAAUCAUACUGCCACCUCCCUGACUGAGAAGUUGAGGACAUCUGAUAGUCAGUGGCAAGAAGCCUAACAAAGAAUCUGAGUGAUGUCAUCUGGGACAAUAGUUGCAUCAUUGUGGUAAUCUAUGGACUCAGCUCUGGUCUGACACUCGCUGCAUAAACCAUAUGUCAUCACAACUAUCUGUAAACUCCAUUGGAGAAUGGAGUUAGCCUGUAGCGGUCCCAUUUCAUCCAUAUUGUAUGGGGUUUUUUUCCAAUUUUUAAAAAAUCAGUAUUUUAUAUAAUAAAGACGUUUUGAACGCU